GAUGAAGAACGUAGCGAAAUGCGAUAAGUAAUGCGAAUUGCAGAAUUCAGUGAAUCAUCGAAUCUUUGAACGCACAUUGCGCCUGCCAGCACUCUGGCAGGCAUGCCUGUUCGAGCGUCAUUUCAACCAUCAAGCCCUAGGCUUGCGUUGGAGCCCUGCGGCUGCCGCAGGCCCCUAAAAGCAGUGGCGGGCUCGCUAUCACACCGAGUGCAGUAGAUUACUCUUCGCUCAGGGCGUGUGGCGGGUUCCAGCCGUGAAACCCCCUACUUCUCAAGGUUGACCUCGGAUCAGGUAGGAAUACCCGCUGAACUUAAGCAUAACAAUAAGCGGAGGA
rnacentral:misc_RNA from 1 species